rnacentral:rRNA from 1 species
GACGAACGCUGGCGGCGUGCUUAACACAUGCAAGUCGAACGGAAAGGCCCUGCUUUUGUGGGGUGCUCGAGUGGCGAACGGGUGAGUAACACGUGAGUAACCUGCCCUUGACUUUGGGAUAACUUCAGGAAACUGGGGCUAAUACCGGAUAGGAGCUCCUGCUGCAUGGUGGGGGUUGGAAAGUUUCGGCGGUUGGGGAUGGACUCGCGGCUUAUCAGCUUGUUGGUGGGGUAGUGGCUUACCAAGGCUUUGACGGGUAGCCGGCCUGAGAGGGUGACCGGCCACAUUGGGACUGAGAUACGGCCCAGCCUCCUACGGGAGGCAGCAGUGGGGAAUAUUGCACAAUGGGCGGAAGCCUGAUGCAGAAACGCCGCGUGCGGGAUGACGGCCUUCGGGUUGUAAACCGCUUUCGCCUGUGACGAAGCGUGAGUGACGGUAAUGGGUAAAGAAGCACCGGCUAACUACGUG